rnacentral:pre_miRNA from 1 species
CAAAUACUCCCUCCGUCCGGAAAUACUUGUCAUCAAAAUGGAUAAAAAGAAAUGUAUCUAGACGUAUUUUAGUUUUAGAUACAUCUCUUUUUAUCCAUUUUGAUGACAAGUAUUUUCGGACGGAUGGAGUAGAAA